rnacentral:rRNA from 1 species
UACGAAGGUCCCAAGCGUUAUCCGGAUUUAUUGGGUUUAAAGGGUGCGUAGGCGGUCUAUUAAGUCAGUGGUGAAAGCCCCAAGCUCAACUUGGGAACUGCCAUUGAUACUGAUGGACUUGAGUACAUUUGAGGUGGGCGGAAUGUGUCAUGUAGCGGUGAAAUGCUUAGAUAUGACACAGAACACCGAUUGCGAAGGCAGCGCACUAAACUGUAACUGACGCUGAGGCACGAAAGCGUGGGGAGCAAACAGG